UACGUAGGGGGCAAGCGUUGUCCGGAUUUAUUGGGCGUAAAGAGCGUGUAGGCGGCCAUGCAGGUCCGUUGUGAAAACUGGAGGCUUAACCUCCAGACGCCGGUGGAAACCGUGUGGCUAGAGUCCGGAAGAGGAGAGUGGAAUUCCUGGUGUAGCGGUGAAAUGCGCAGAUAUCAGGAGGAACACCGAUGGCGAAGGCAGGUCUCUGGGCCACUACUGACGCUGAGGAGCGAAAGCGUGGGGAGCGAACAGG
rnacentral:rRNA from 1 species